GAUCAUGGCUCAAGAUGAGCGCUGGCGGCGUGCUUAACACAUGCAAGUCGAACGAAGCACUUUAUUACGAUUUCUUCGGAAUGACGAUUUAGUGACUGAGUGGCGGACGGGUGAGUAACGCGUGGGUAACCUGCCUUAUACAGGGGGAUAACAGUUAGAAAUGACUGCUAAUACCGCAUAAGCGCACAGGAUUGCAUGAUCUGGUGUGAAAAACUCCGGUGGUAUAAGAUGGACCCG
rnacentral:rRNA from 1 species